rnacentral:tRNA from 1 species
CGGGGCGUAGCGCAGAUGGCUAGCGCGCAUGGUUCGGGACCAUGAGGUCGCUGGUUCAAGUCCAGUCGCCCCGACCA